rnacentral:rRNA from 1 species
CGAGUGGCGAACGGGUGAGUAAUAUAUCGGAACGUGCCCAGUCGUGGGGGAUAACGUAGAGAAAUUUACGCUAAUACCGCAUACGAUCUAAGGAUGAAAGCGGGGGACUUCGCAAGAGGCCUCGCGCGAUUGGAGCGGCUGAUAUCAGAUUAGGUUGUUGGUGAGGUAAAAGCUCACCAAGCCGACGAUCUGUAGCUGGUUUGAGAGAACGACCAGCCACACUGGGACUGAGACACGGCCCAGACUCCUACGGGAGGCAGCAGUGGGGAAUUUUGGACAAUGGGCGAAAGCCUGAUCCAGCAAUGCCGCGUGCAGGAAGAAGGCCUUCGGGUUGUAAACUGCUUUUGUACGGAACGAAAAGGUCUGCCCUAAUACGGCGGGCCCAUGACGGUACCGUAAGAAUAAGCACCGGCUAACUACGUGCCAGCAGCCGCGGUAAUACGUAGGGUGCGAGCGUUAAUCGGAAUUACUGGGCGUAAAGCGUGCGCAGGCGGUGAUGUAAGACAGUUGUGAAAUCCCCGGGCUCAACCUGGGAAUUGCAUCUGUGACUGCAUCGCUAGAGUACGGUAGAGGGGGAUGGAAUUCCGCGUGUAGCAGUGAAAUGCGUAGAUAUGCGGAGGAACACCGAUGGCGAAGGCAAUCCCCUGGACCUGUACUGACGCUCAUGCACG